CGGAGGGUGCAAGCGUUGUCCGGAUUUAUUGGGUUUAAAGGGUGCGUAGGCGGCUUAAUAAGUCCGUGGUGAAAGCCAACAGCUCAACUGUUGAACUGCCAUGGAUACUGUUAGGCUUGAGUACAGACGAGGUAGGCGGAAUUGAUGGUGUAGCGGUGAAAUGCAUAGAUACCAUCAAGAACACCGAUUGCGAAGGCAGCUUACUAGGCUGUAACUGACGCUGAGGCACGAAAGCGUGGGGAGCGAACAGGAUUAGAUACCCUGGUAGUCCACGCUGUAAACGAUGAUGACUCGAUGUGGGCGAUACACAGUCCGCGUCUUAGCGAAAGCGUUAAGUCAUCCACCUGGGGAGUACGCCCGCAAGGGUG
rnacentral:rRNA from 1 species